rnacentral:rRNA from 1 species
CAGUAGCCGCGGGAAAACGUAGGUGGCAAGCGCUGUCCGGAAUUAUUGGGCGUAAAGGGCUCGCGGGCGGUUUCUUAAGUCGGAUGUGAAAGCCCCCGGCUCAACCGGGGAGGGUCAUUGGAAACUGGGAAACUUGAGUGCAGAAGAGGAGAGUGGAAUUCCACGUGUAGCGGUGAAAUGCGUAGAGAUGUGGAGGAACACCAGUGGCGAAGGCGACUCUCUGGUCUGUAACUGACGCUGAGGAGCGAAAGCGUGGGGAGCGAACAGGAUUAGAUACCCGUGUAGUCCCUGUCUCUUAUAC